rnacentral:lncRNA from 1 species
UUUUGUGAAAACAUGUUCAUUUGAAUAACAUAUAUAGCAUGCAUUUAACAAUUAAAAGGCGGAAUCAUGCUUGCAUGCAUUCAAAAACAAAACAUUACCCAUGAAAUUCAAAGCCUAGUAGAUUGGUGAACCAAGACUCAACUCAAAUCAAAGUGAGUUGAGAAAUAUAUACCUUUGUAGAUUCCUUUUUGCAUAAGCAAAGGCUAAUCACCCAAAGAGAGGGCCUUCAUUCCUUGCUUCUUAGAUCCAUGGAUUUGG